UACGACUACAUAUCAGGCAUAUCAAUAAGCGGAGGAAAAGAAACUAACAAGGAUUCCCUUAGUAACGGCGAGUGAAGCGGGAAGAGCUCAAAUUUGAAAUCUUCAAGGUUUUACCUUGACGAAUUGUAGUUUAAAGAAGUGUUUUCUGUUGAAGUUUUGGUAAAAGUUCUUUGGAAUAGGACAUCAUAGAGGGUGAGAAUCCCGUAUUUGACCAUUAUUUUCAGCUGUGUGAUACACUUUCAAAGAGUCGGAUUGUUUGGGAAUGCAGUCCAAAAUGGGUGGUAAAUUUCAUCUAAAGCUAAAUAUUGGCGAGAGACCGAUAGCGAACAAGUACCGUGAGGGAAAGAUGAAAAGAACUUUGAAAAGAGAGUUAAACAGUACGUGAAAUUGUCAAAAGGGAAGCGUUUGACACCAGUGUUGUUUUCUCGAAAAUCAAUUAAAAAAAGUUGGAUUUUGUGUUGUAUUGACCUUAACAGCUUGCUUCACUCUUUUCCAGCUUUUUUUAAUGCACUUUUCGUUUAACAAGUCAACAUCAGUUUCUUUUGUUGUAAAAGGGUCAUUGGAAGGUGGCUUUCUCUUCGGAGAAAGUGUUUAUAGCCUUUUAUCUCUGCAGUCGGGGAGAUUGAGGUCUGCAGCGUAGAUCCUUCGGGGCUAGAUACAUUUAUGCUAAGUUAUAGCUUUUCAUAGACAACUUGUUGACUAUGUUUAGUCAUGUAGCUUACUCGUAAGUGCUAUUUUACCUACGCUUAGGAUGUUGAGCGCAUGUCUCUCUCU
rnacentral:rRNA from 1 species